rnacentral:rRNA from 1 species
GAUGAACGCUGGCGGCGUGCCUAAUACAUGCAAGUCGAGCGAACAGAUGAGGAGCUUGCUCCUCUGACGUUAGCGGCGGACGGGUGAGUAACACGUGGAUAACCUACCUAUAAGACUGGGAUAACUUCGGGAAACCGGAGCUAAUACCGGAUGAUAUAUUGAACCGCAUGGUUCAAUAGUGAAAGACGGUUUUGCUGUCACUUAUAGAUGGAUCCGCGCCGCAUUAGCUAGUUGGUAAGGUAACGGCUUACCAAGGCAACGAUGCGUAGCCGACCUGAGAGGGUGAUCGGCAACACUGGAACUGAGACACGGUCCAGACUCCUACGGGAGGCAGCAGUAGGGAAUCUUCCGCAAUGGGCGAAAGCCUGACGGAGCAACGCCGCGUGAGUGAUGAAGGUCUUCGGAUCGUAAAACUCUGUUAUUAGGGAAGAACAAAUGUGUAAGUAACUAUGCACGUCUUGACGGUACCUAAUCAGAAAGCCACGGCUAACUACGUG